GCUUGUCUCAAAGAUUAAGCCAUGCAUGUCUUAGUGUAAAUAACUCUUAUGAAACUGCGAAUGGCUCAUUAAAUCAGUUAUCAAAUACGUGAUGGUCGCCUACUACAUGGAUAACCGUAGUAAUUCUAGAGCUAAUACAUGCGUAAAAUCCCGACUCUCGCGGGGAGGGAUGUAUUUAUUAGUUAAAAAGCCAAUGCGGGUUCUGCCCGGUUUUGUGGUGAAUCAUAGUAACUGUUCGAAUCGCAUGGCUUCACGCCGGCGAUAGUUCAUUCAAAUUUCUGCCCUAUCAGCUUUCGACGGUAGUGUAGUGGACUACCGUGGCGUUA
rnacentral:rRNA from 1 species